rnacentral:rRNA from 1 species
AUUGAACGCUGGCGGCAUGCUUUACACAUGCAAGUCGAACGGCAGCACGGGGCAACCUGGUGGCGAGUGGCGAACGGGUGAGUAAUACAUCGGAACGUGCCCAAUCGUGGGGGAUAACGUAGCGAAAGUUACGCUAAUACCGCAUACGAUCUACGGAUGAAAGCGGGGGAUCGCAAGACCUCGCGCGAAUGGAGCGGCCGAUGUCAGAUUAGGUAGUUGGUGGGGUAAAGGCUCACCAAGCCAACGAUCUGUAGCUGGUCUGAGAGGACGACCAGCCACACUGGAACUGAGACACGGUCCAGACUCCUACGGGAGGCAGCAGUGGGAAUUUUGGACAAUGGGCGCAAGCCUGAUCCAGCCAUUCCGCGUGCAGGAUGAAGGCC